GAUGAACGCUGGCGGCGUGCCUAAUACAUGCAAGUCGAGCGAACAGACGAGGAGCUUGCUCCUCUGACGUUAGCGGCGGACGGGUGAGUAACACGUGGAUAACCUACCUAUAAGACUGGGAUAACUUCGGGAAACCGGAGCUAAUACCGGAUAACAUGUUGAACCGCAUGGUUCAACAGUGAAAGACGGUCUUGCUGUCACUUAUAGAUGGAUCCGCGCCGCAUUAGCUAGUUGGUAAGGUAACGGCUUACCAAGGCAACGAUGCGUAGCCGACCUGAGAGGGUGAUCGGCCACACUGGAACUGAGACACGGUCCAGACUCCUACGGGAGGCAGCAGUAGGGAAUCUUCCGCAAUGGGCGAAAGCCUGACGGAGCAACGCCGCGUGAGUGAAGAAGGUCUUCGGAUCGUAAAACUCUGUUAUUAGGGAAGAACAAAUGUGUAAGUAACUAUGCACGUCUUGACGGUACCUAAUCAGAAAGCUACGGCUAACUACGUG
rnacentral:rRNA from 1 species